UUUUUUCUAACCUCUUCCACUUCCUUAUACAUUUUGUACGACUUCCUUUCAUAGAAAUGACACACAGUUCUUCUGCAUUGUUUGGGAAAAAAUUGCUUGUCCUAACCACAUCUCAAACCAAUCACUAAUAACUUGCAACUGCUCCAUCUUUGUGCAAUCAACUUGAUAGGAUGUCAAAGUCAUUUGUCAAAAUAUGAUGUGAUUCACAUGGGUUGAGUUCCACACCUUGUAUCCAAUUGAGGGAUUCCGCAUGGUUUCACAAGGAAAAGCCUUCGCCCUUAAUGGGAACAAGGAUCAUGUUGGCAAACUAACAUUGGAGUGAUAAUUUCAGAUAGAGAUCCAUUAAUCUUUGCACGUUACUAGCUGUGCUGGCACAUUACAUAAGCACCAAGAACUAAUGAAAGCUUGUUUGACCAGAACAGCAUCCGAGAAUGCCUACUAGACCCAACUGUAUGCACUGCUAGGGAAAGCGGCUUCAGUACCAGUUGUGCAACCGGUAUUGCUACUUCGGUACUAAAGCGGGGGCCUUUAGUACCGAAUCAAAUAACCGGUACUAAAGGGUAUUAAAAAAUAAAAAAAAUGAAAUCUGGCCGGGCGCCCAGCCCCGCAUCCCGCCGGCCACGCCCAGCUACCCCCCCAGUUGUCAACAUCCGCGGCCCUACCGGAUAGGGAGAGGGAAAGGAAGGAGAGGGGGGGAGAGGGAGAGGGAGGGUGCGAGCAUACCUAUGCCCUGUGCACCACCACGCCCGGGCCGCCGUCGCUCCCCGCCCGCGCACCGUCGCCUCCGACUGGCCGCUGCUCCCCCGCGCGCCCAAGCACUGCCCUGCACCUUGCCCCGCUGCCGCUCCUCACUGCUAGUGAGAAGCGAGCAUAGGGGGAAGGGGAGGGGAAGCAGAGGGGAAGGGGGCGGCGGUGGCAGGAGAGGGAGGGAGAGAGGGGCGGCGGGAGGGAAGAGAGGGGGCGGCAGGUAGAUUAGGUUGAGAGAGAAAUGUGAGAGAAGAGAAGAUAAGGUUGAGAGAGAAGAGAUAAGGGGAACGGGAGUGGGUAGGGGGGAGAUGGAUAAGGUUGGGAUGUCCUUUAGUACGGGUUGGGAGCUUCAACCGGUAAUAAAGAUCAACCAUUAGUACCGGGUGGAGCCUCCACCCGAUACUAAAGGCCGGCUCCACCCGGUACUAAUGGGUGACCUUUAGUACCGGUUGGAGCCCCCAACCGGUACUAAAGGGGAUCAGGGGGGCUCCUGGGGAGCUAUCCGUUAGAUCCGGUACUAAUGUUCACAUUAGUACCGGGUCAAAAAUCAACCGAUAUUAAGGGCUAGGACCAAUGCUCAGUUUUGGAGCACUCAUGCCAAAUUUUAGCACCAAGAACCCCAUAUCAUGGGACCUGUUUCUUGCAUUAAAUGUGUGUGUCAUAUAUGGCAAAAGGACACGAUGUGUUACUUCCUUUCCUGGGACAAAUGUGCUUUGGUCCGUUGUACGAUAUCAUUCAAUAAUGCCUUGAGUCGAUCGACUCACUAACACUUUUUGGACAAUCUUAUACAAACGUCAAAUAAGCUAAUGGGGCGAAGAUACUUUAUUUUUUGGGUUUGUACUACAAAGUUUCAUUUUACAUUUUUGCAGCAAUUCUACUUAUUUGUUUAGUUUUUUGUAAGCUUUACUAAAUUUUCUGCUUUCUUAUUAUGAUGCAGGUGGUGACUACUAAGGAGGCAAGUUGUAAUGUACUUGCAUUUGCGGAUGUAGAUUGCUUGUGCCAACUGUGUGUUGUACGGCACACAAACAUCUUUGCUCAGGAGUUUGUAUGGAUAUCCCUCGUUUACUUCUCCAGAGAACUGAACGUCCGCUGGAAAUAUUUUCAGAACAAGCAGACCUAUCUGAAGUUGUUACGAAGCUGUAGAUCUUUCGCGUUUGUUCUGAUAGAAUCUCAUGUAGCAUUCAUGGGUGGUUUUCUGUGCUUUCAUUCUCACUUUCUCAGUAUACAUGCACAAUACUCCUAUUUCAAAAUAUAGAUUGUUUUAACUUGUCUAGGUUCAUAGUUUUUACUGUACUAGCAAACAUACCCGUGCGUUGCUACGGGUCUAGGGUAUCUUUGUUCAUUUGGAUGUAAAUGUACAAUCUUUGUUGCAAUGUGGAGGUCUACCAUCUUUUCGUUCCCAGUCUGAAGUUCUCUCAUCUGAUCUGAGCACUUUCAGGACUAAGCACCUCUUCCUGCAUGCAUACAGAAAGAACACACACAUUCAGAAAUUAAACCAUCGAGAACAGAUAUUCAGAAUAUAACCAUCAAGAACCCCCACACGCACAUUCAGAGCCAAUGUUCAGAGAAGAAGCAGAAUCAACAGAUAGUAGGAAUGAAGGCUAAUCAAAUAAGAUAUACAAACAAACAUCAAGUGCGCCCUUGGCACGGAGGCACGACCGGAGCCAACUGCCCAUCAGCACCAGCCUGUGCUCCGGAUUAUACUCCCACACCUUCGUCUCGUUGCACGAGCCCAGCUCCAGCGUCAGCGAUGACCGGCGCCGCCGCACCACGCAGAGCCCUGUCGCUUGGUGGAACAGCGCGUUGUACGGUGCUGCCUCGUCGAGGCCGGGUCCCCUGAACGGGCGCUGCAGGGCGCAGACCCUUCGCAGCGUCGUGUUGUUGCGCGGCCGGAGCUGGUCAUGGCUGAGCACCCGUACGCCUCGUCGUGCCCUGCGACGCCCUCCCGGAGGUAGUAGCCUCGUCGUGCCCUGCGACGCCCUCCCGGAGGUAGUAGCUCGCCGCCGAGGCCGCGCGUAGGGGCAGCGGCGGGGCGCCCCGCUCCGGCCGCCGCCAACACGAAUCAAGGGGGAAAAGGGAUGGCCUGAAUCCUCACAACAUGGGCGAUCGAUUUUUGUACAGCUGGAACCAAAUUCGUCAACGCCGUGCCAUCCGUCCACCUCGCCGUGUUGGUGCUCGGCAUGCCGUUGUCUCCCCGGUGGCUCGUCCUCAAGGGCCAGCUCAGAGACGCCAGGGUCGUGCUGGAGAAGAUCACCGAGACGCUGGAGGAGGCUGCGGGCAGCCUAACCGACAUCAAGGCGGCCGCAGGCUUGCCGAAAGGCGUCGAUGGCUAGUCACUGUGCCCAAGAGGAGCGGCGGUGAGGAGUGGCAGGUUUGGAAGGACCUUGUCUUCUCUCCGUCCCCGGUCAUGCGGCGGAUCCUGCUCUCGGCGCUCGGCAUCCACUUCUUCCAGCAGGCCUCCGGCAUCGACGCCUUCGUCCUCUACAGCCCCCGCAUCUUCAUGGGUGCCGGCAUCACCGACGACGGACGGGGAGCUCACCGGCUUACAGCUUCGCGGUGGCGACCUCUUCCUGGACGCCGCGCACGCGUCGGCAAUGCCGCCGAGGCUGCGCGCAGGAGCAGCGGCGGGGCGCCCCGCUCCAGCCGCCGCCCGCGCCCGAUCCCCUCCUUCGCCUCUCUAUUUUGGAGAAAGAGAAGCAUUUUUGUCUUUAACCCCCUCCCUUCCCUCCUUUUUCCACCCGAGCCAUUCCUCUCUUUAGAAUAUGGACUGCGGGUUGAUUCCUUGAAAGUUGAGGGACUUUUUUGUAAAAUGACAACGACGGACGAAAAUUGAGGCAGAGACGUUGCUUGCUUUAAUAAUAGGUAUAGAUAUCUAAACAUUAUGUACAUAAAAACUAUGUAUCUAGAAAAGUCAAGAUAACUUACAAACUUACAAUUUAGGAUGGAAGUAGUUAUGAUUGCAUUGAAAGGUAGGGUAAUGACGCUUUUGGAGCAAUUCCUUGUUUGCUAGUGUGUGCGUGCGCUUUGCAAGCACGUGGCAAUGUGUGCAUGUUUUUUCUUUUCUUUCUACGUUCCUUUUUUUAAACUUAUGUGUGGAAGGCCUUCCAUACUUCCAUAUACUAAAAUAUAGUUGCAAAUAAGGAAUUAGCAAAGUUGCAAUUACAAGGGAAUGUGCAAAUUUGCAAUUGAGACAAAAAAAAAUAUCACCACUUUGUUUAGGACUUGAUAUGAUGUAUUGGCUACAUGUGCGAUAAUGACCAUAGCAUACUAGCAGCCAGUUUGAGAAUGUUGAAAUUUGAGAUACAUUAGUUUCAAAAUGUCCAAAUUAAAUGAUUGAAACAUUCAAAAUCUUUGAAGUGCCUAUGUUUCAAGGAAACGAUCGAAAAACAGCUACGUUUGUCCCUCACAUAAACAUCCUUUUCUCUUCCUCAUGAACAUGUAAAUGAAGGAAACCUCUUGGAAAAUCCCGUUUUGUGCCCGUGCGGCGUUCUUUCAAGAGCUACUCUCUAUCCGACCACACAUACCACCCUCUCCCUCCUAUUUUGGAGCCCACGUGCCAUAUUCCCAUUAGAGCUGGUCCAACACUCCAUCGUAGAUGUUGGCUUCACAUAGCUACGUUUGCAAGGUGUUUGUCGUGGAAGAGAGAGAGAGGGAAUAGUUGGUGGCUUGGAUAUUACUGAUGCAACUUGCAAAAGUACAUGUGGUAGGGUAAGACGGCGGCCCAAGAGAGUAGGGAUGGAUAUGGAUGUCUUUGAAAAUCCGAAUUAUCCGAAUUCAUAUCCGCUAAAAACGUCAAUAUGGAUAUCCGAUUCGUAUUCGUUUUUAAUGUGGACGUUAAAUGGAUGUAUCCAGAUUCGAUUUUCAGUAUUUUUCUCGAUCCGGUUCCAGAUUCGUAUUCGACAAAAAUGUGAAAUAUCCGAUAUUAUCCGCAUCCGCAAAGAAUAAAGUACCCAAUGACACAAUCUAAAACUUAUUUAUAUUACUAAAUACUAAUUACAAAUAAUGUAAAUUUUAAUAUUGCUAAUAAAAUAAUUAUUUACACCAUUUAGACUAUUAAAAAAUUAUCUAUAUGACAAAUGACUAAUUAUGUGAACCUAAUAUUACUAGUGAUAUAUAAUGAUAGAGUUUAAUUAAUUUUAACAUGACCAAUCAUAUUAAUUUUAAAUACAUUAUAUUAUUUAUUAAAUGAAUAAAUCAUAUUUAAAUGUAUUCAUGAACUUAUUUUUAUUAUUAAAUUAUAUAUAUGGAAUAUAUUUAUUUUGAAAAAUUUAAUUAUUUAUUAAUAAAUAUGUUAUUUUAAUAAGAUAUCUAUUAUGUACUAUGCUCAUAAUUUACUCCCUACUUGUAAGUUGUAACAUUAUUUUUGAUCAAUUACAAAAUCAUCGAUAAAGUAAAAUCGAUACUCAUUAUGACGCUAUGUUAUAAGUCGAGCAAGUAUCCGAAUGCGAAUCCGAAUUUGAACUAUUCAUUUUGUAUUCAUAUUCGAUAAUAUUUGAAUUAAAAUAUGGUAAAUAGUGCUAUCUGAAUUCAAUUCCAUACGUAUCGGAUCUGAAUCCAUCCCUACAAGAGAGAGAGGGUGGUCUAGGAAGGAACAAAGCAAAAUGAUCUAUUGAUUUCCUAUCGAUACCUUGGCUUUACAUAGCACAUUCUCUCUCGCUUAGAACCUCCACUUGAUAUUGGCUACCGUUGACCUAUGGUUUCUCUUUCCCAAUUUUUUUCUUUAUCCUAAGCUUCUUAUCUCAUUCCUUUUUUUAUAAUAAUUAUCAUAUUCAUUGCUCAGAGUCGUCAUCAAUUCGUUUUGAGCUUAAGCUCCGCUAUUGCCCCUAGCUGAGAACAAAAACAACCAAACUGGACAUGAAUUUUAGCAUCAAUCGGAUAUAUCAAAGAUGUUCCCGAACAUUUGAGAUGACGAGAGGGACAUCACCAUACUUUCAAAAUUUGAAAACACUUCACAAAAAGGUUGAAGGUUGUUUUGGCAGGAAAAAGAAAAAGGCUUGCCUGAUUUUGGGUGUUCAAAAUCACUGUUGUAGCACUGUAGCAUACUGUAGCGUUUCGUUUGUAUUUGUCAAUUAUUAUCUAAAUAUUGACUAAUUAGACUUAAAAGAUUCGUCUCGCAAAGUAUAACAAAACUGUGCAAUUAGUUUUUGAUUUCGUCUACAUUUAGUACUCCAUACAUGUACCGCAAGUUUGAUAUGAUGGGAAAUCUUCUUUUUAGAUAAUGUUAAAAUUGGAAGUUAGGGGACUAAACAGGCCCAAAUUCCUGGCUCGUUCCAAAAGCCUGAAAAGCUGAAACCCUGUGAACGUACGGAAAGCAACUUCCUAAUCCUGUCCUUUUGCACAAGCAGCACUGCAGUCUGCAGCAGGCGGGCGUGACCUCGUGAGUGACUGACCUCCAGCUGUCGAUCUCUCGCUGCUUUCGCUCUUCAAUACCCCCACCAGAAUCUCCCCUCCCAUCGCCUCAACAACAGCCGCCGCUGCCGGCUUCCGCGGAGAUGGCGACGACGGUCGCCGACCUCACGGAGGAAGCCCUCGACGCCAUCCUCCGCUGCCUCACCCCCGCCGACCUCAUCCGCGCGGCGCUCGCCUGCCACCGCUGGCGCCGGGCCGCCUCCCGCGCCCUCCCGCGCGCGCCGCCCCUCCUCGGCUACUUCUUCCACCCGCAGGGCCCCGCCAAGCCGCCCCCCGAGCCGACGUCGGACAAGACCCACCACCCCGCCGUCUUCGUCCCACUCGACGCCGCCUCCCCGCGCCUCUCCCUCGAGCUCAGCCCCACCGCCGCCCGCGGCCUCUCCAUCCAGGACGUCCACCUCGGCCUCAUCCUCCUCCUCCACCACCCGCGCCCCCAGUCGCUCCUGCCCCGCAUCGUCGCCGUCGACCCGGCGUCGCGCCGCCGCGUGCUGCUCCCGCCGCCGCCGCCGCGGGGCACGCUGCCCGACGACCGCUGGCGCGGCGACAGGAGCGUCAUCGGCGUCGCCGUGCUCUCGCGCGCGCACCCGAGCAGGCUCUCCUUCGACGCCGUCUGCGUCACCAUCGACGGCAGCCUCCCGCGCGCCUGGGUCGCGUCCGUCCGCGACGGCGACUGCGCCUGGCGCGCGCUGCCGCGGGCCGACAGAGUCGUGGUCGACUUCGACCCGUGGUGGUUCGAGACCCGCUGCGUGCACGCCGCUGGGAACAUCUACUGGCACAUCUGCAACUCCAGCCGCCUGCUCCAGCUGGAUCCUCGCACGCUGGAGUUCUCUUUCAUGCCGGUGCCUGCCGCCCUGGGGGACCGAAUCAAAAAGUACCGCAUCGGGGAGAUGCCGGAGGACGGCCGUCUGUGCAUGGCAGCGAUCGUGGACGAAGAAGAUCUGCAGAUCUGGGUGCGUGGUAAGGCCAGGUGGAGCGACCGGGGGUGGUUAUUGGAGAGGGAGAUGUCCAUGACCAAGGUGCUCGACACCGUGCCUGGGCUACCCAAGGAAUCGAUGGGGCGGAUGAUAUGCACCUGGCUCAGCGACAUCGACUACGCCCGCACCGGUAAGGUGUUCAUCAAGACGUGGGGAUAUGGGCGCUACUCAUUCCAUAUGGAGAGUGGCAAGCUGGAGCACCUGGUGAUGAAAGAUGGCAAGGAGUACGGGGAUCCCAUGUACGCCUACACCUUGGCCUGGCCACCUGAGUUCCUCGCUGCAAAAGACUGACUUUCCGGUGAUUUGCAUAGCCACCCUUCUCUCUUCGUGCCAUUUUUGUUUAUGUGAUGUUUUGCUUGAUCAAAUGCUCCAUUCAUUAUUCUUUUUCUGUGAUCAUCUGAAUGGUCGGAUGCAUGCACAUUUGUUAUAGUAUCAAGUAGCAGUAGAUGGAGCAAGCAUGUCCUUUCAUUUUCGGAUUUGGUAUAGUUACUUGCAAAGUGGCAAGAUAACUGGGGGUAUCAAAGUAGCAAUCUUUGGAAGGUAGAAGCAGUUUUAGAACAUCGAAUUUAACACAUAUUAGUGGGAAGCUUGAUGCGCAUCAAUUUGGUGAAUUGUGUGCCCUUCCAUUUGCUCUAGGUGGUAUAUGCUUAUAUUUGGUACAAACUAAUUUCUCAGGAAGUUGUAUUUAGGUCAGUUACUUAUGUUUUUCUUGAUCAAAUGCUCCAUUCAUCAUUUUUCUAUGCGAUUAUCUGAAUGGUCUGAUGCAUGCACAUUUAGUUAUAGUAUCUAGUAGUAGUUGAGGGAGCAACCAUAUGUAGCAACCUUCUGCCUUUGGAUUUGUAAUAGUUACUCGCAAAGUGGCAAGAUAAUUGGGUUAUCAAUGUGGCAAUAUUUGAAAGGUAGCAGCCAAUUUUAGAACAUCAAAAUUACCACAUAUUUGUGGGAAGCUUGACAACCCUAACUUUGAUGGUAGUGCGCCUUCCAGAGGCUGUAGGCUUUGUUGUACACUUGUAUUUAGUACAAACUUAUUUCUCCAUAUAUACUUUGCUUUGGACAUUACAGUUUUGUUCCUUGAAUUUUAAAUUUCUUUUCUUAAAUGAGGUAUUUUGUGCAGAUUAGAGAUGCCACUUGGGCUAAACUUCUAAUUUAACAUUUCAUUGGAGUCCCUUUUUAAUUAUGUGUGAAUUUAAUGACAUCCUUUAAUUAUUUUGUUUCUCAGUUUGUUAACUCACUCCAGAAAUUGUGAAUUUCAUGGAUGCUGUAACUUGUAAUGGUGCAAUCGAGCCUUUUAGCUUGUGCACAUAGAUACUAAACCUGAGUAGUACUAUAAUUUAAAUUCCUUAAUCUGUAAAGCUUCACAACAAGGAGCAGUCGGCUUCCCUUCCAUGUCGUUAUUAUUUUAAUUUAUGUGAAGUUGCUUGAUCAAAUACUGAAUAAUGAGAUGAGAUCAUUUUUCUGUGAUUGCACCCUGGGUGGUUUGAUGCAUGUGCAACACUUUAAGUUGGUUGCGGUAGGAGGCAUCACAAGCGUGUUCACUUGUUUAGGAUUGUUGUGAUGGCAACAUAACUGCUGCGACCUGUGAUGAGCUCUGUACAGUACCAGCCAGUUUCGUAAUGUCAAAAUUCGAAGACACAGUAUCUAGUGGUCUGUCUUAUGUAUUUUCCAAACCCAUUUGAGGCAAACUUGAUGAUCCUACAUUCGAAUAUUCGAUGCAUUUUGUACAUUCCAGUGGCUUUGGUAGGCUGAUGAUUAAUAUUUUGGACAAACAAAGUGCUCUGGAUGAGAUAUUUUCAUUUUAAGAAUCUGUUUAAUACUGUGCUUUUAUAUGGAAGUUUGGUUCCCUAGAUUUUGGUCAAGGUGAUGGAUUAUUGAAUGCUGUUUGGAUUCAAGGAAUAGUUGUGCUUAUUUUUUUUGCUCUGUUGCUCAAACAGUUCAGAAAUUUUGAGUUGUGGGUUCCAAGCUUUGUUUAAGUGUGCAACUGAGCCUUUUAGCUUAUGCUGAUUCAAGACACUAGAAUUUGGAAUAUUUAGAAUGGUCAUGUUAGGCUUGAUUCUAUCUUGCCAACUUUUUAUAUUUGCUAGCAUGAUUUCAGCUCCUGUGUGAUAAUUACGCGUUUCGUGUGUCUGAAAUCUGCCAAAUAGAAAUAGUAGUACUUGUAUAUUUUCUGGAGGUUUUAUGGUUGCAACUUGAAUACUAAUGAUGCUAUUUUAACACAGUAAUUAUUUUGUAACUUUUAUUCCAUAUCAAAAUUAUAUUCUGAUAUGUAAGGUGCGAAACAUGUCUGAAAUAAAUUGCUAUUUUCUGGACUUGCCAGUUUGGUGCUCAAUAAUUAGAAAGAAUGGAGGAAAUAUUUGCACCUUAGUGUUUGAUAAGAGUAAGGCACAAUUAAUUGUGAGUCCGUUCCAUUUUGUACCAUUAUGCAGAACUUAGAAUCGAAAGGUGUUUGCAUGAAACUAGAGAAGCUGUGUGCCAAUUAGAUGACUCUUGAGGCAUAACUUAUUUUUUCUUGAAUUUUAGCAAGAGUUAAGGUUCACGUAUCUUUGAAACUGAUUAGGAGAACAGUGCUGCUGUUUGACUAUUUUAUCGAUUUGGUUAGUUAGUUAGAUGGUGAAAGAAAUCUAGACGAAAGGAUAUUAUUGGUGUCAUUCAACUUCUGUACGAUCAAUUAUGUGUUAAUUAAUCUUCUUUUUCUGUUAAUAUGAUUAAUAAUGCGUCAUGUACAGUCUCUUUCUAGUUAAGUAAUAAUCUUCAUUGCGUAGAAGAUGCUUUUGUUAAGCAAUUUGCCGAUCUGACAUAAUUCGUUCUAUUUUAAUUUGUAUAUUUUCAUGGAUUUCUUCCAAUGAAACGAGUUGCUUGAAGAACCUUUAGACCAUGAAAGUACUAUGAAUGUUCUUUGGCACGAUCGAAUUUUAAUGAUUACGCACACAGGAUCCAUGUUCUGGUUUCAAUCUAGUUCGGUUUUACAUACAAAUUGCCCAUCUCAUUUCAUAGAAACUCAACUUGUUUGAUUCCUAGGCACUUAGAAUUGUGCUAAUAAGUACCUUUUCUUUAUAUUUCAGGGUGGUGACUGAUGAAAGAAGAUAUCAGCAUGGCAGAUCAGCUCACCUCGUUGCAUUUCUGGGUCACUAGUGUUCCUUGUUAUGUUCGAGUUAACUCAUACACAGCUGUAGCUGAAUUUAUCUUGGCACCAUUUUUUUUUUUUGGAUUAGAUGGCAUUCGGAAGAGCAUGCCACGCUAUGCAGAUUUCAGGCGAAACAUAUAUGCUUCCUCAUCAUAAGAAGUUUAUCCCAUUGGACUAUGAUGGCAUUUUGAAGACAUCCGUCAGGAUCGUCGGCUAUGCUUGUUAUAGCCAAACCGCGCUUUUGUUCGUCAUGAGUAAUAUUUAUCCCGUUUGACUCUGAUAAGCUUGCUCCUGUUCUGCGUGUCGUGUGAUGAUCGAUAGCUUAGAUUUGCAUCUUUGAGUGAGCUCGUUAUCUUGAAUUUUUGUGGUUGCACUUUGUUUUUUUAGUUUGCUCUUGCGCUGUGGUUCAUAACUGCAUGCACUUCCUAGGUUUAAACUGUGUCGCCAUCUUCGCAGCCUGCCAUCGUUGACCCUUCUCGUCAGUGCAAGGCUGGCAAGAUGGGCAACAACAACAUGUCCCUCGGUCCGUCUCGUUUGUAUUGCGUAGGAGUUGAGACUUGCUAUUGUCAGGGAGGUAGUUUCCUAUUUGGUGUCCAGUACCAGUGUGUAGCACCUGCAUAACUGAUCGAAAUAUUAGCUAAAAAACCUUAUGCAAAUAUCGAAUUGCUUGUUAUUAAAAUUUGGUAGUGUUACUAGAUUUUGUUAGCAUUUCAUUUAAAUUAGAGCGACGGUUUUGAGGCCGCCUGAUAGCAUCUGACGCUGGGCAGUGGUAGUAUUGAAUCAUAAGUCUUGAGGCAAAUCAAGUUCAGUAUUUUUCAAAAAAAUUCUGUAAAAAGAAAACAUUUAUCACUGCAGAAUGGCACAUACUAAACAUCACUGCUUGCAUUGAUUUUUCAUGUCCUUUUUACAAGAUCUUUCAAUAUUUUAUAAUAAAUAGAAAUGAUUGUUGAAACUUGGUGUAUCGUCACAAAAGCACCUCGCGUGCAACCCAAAGCAACAUGAUUCGCUUAUGUCACUGCACGGACCGGAAAUUCUAACCAUUAGACGAAAUCCCGAAGAUUAGGCAGACAAAAUCCUGCGAAUGUUCGUUGCCAGCGACUAGCAGCGAACGGACGUUAUCUUCAGCGCCAAA
rnacentral:lncRNA from 1 species